UGUCUUUCUCUCUCUGUGUCCUAGCUGUCCUGGCAUCGUGUACAGGUUGUGCUGCUUGUCUUUCUCUCUCUGUGUCCUAGCUGUCCUGGCAUCGUGUAAAGGUUGUGCUGCUUGUCUUUCUCUCUCUGUGUCCCAGCUGUCCUGGCAUCGUGUACAGGUUGUGCUGCUUGUCUUUCUCUCUCUGUGUCCUAGCUGUCCUGGCAUCGUGUAAAGGUUGUGCUGCUUGUCUUUCUCUCUCUGUGUCCUAGCUGUCCUGGCAUCGUGUAAAGGUUGUGCUGCUUGUCUUUCUCUCUCUGUGUCCUAGCUGUCCUGGCAUCGUGUACAGGUUGUGCUGCUUGUCUUUCUCUCUCUGUGUCCUAGCUGUCCUGGCAUCGUGUAAAGGUUGUGCUGCUUGUCUUUCUCUCUCUGUGUCCUAGCUGUCCUGGCAUCGUAUCAAGGUUGUGCUGCUUGUCUUUCUCUCUCUGUGUCCUAGCUGUCCUGGCAUCGUGUAAAGGUUGUGCUGCUUGUCUUUCUCUCUCUGUGUCCUAGCUGUCCUGGCAUCGUGUACAGGUUGUGCUGCUUGUCUUUCUCUCUCUGUGUCCCAGCUGUCCUGGCAUCGUGUACAGGUUGUGCUGCUUGUCUUUCUCUCUCUGUGUCCUAGCUGUCCUGGCAUCGUGUAAAGGUUGUGCUGCUUGUCUUUCUCUCUCUGUGUCCCAGCUGUCCUGGCAUCGUGUAAAGGUUGUGCUGCUUGUCUUUCUCUCUCUGUGUCCUAGCUGUCCUGGCAUCGUGUAAAGGUUGUGCUGCUUGUCUUUCUCUCUCUGUGUCCUAGCUGUCCUGGCAUCGUGUAAAGGUUGUGCUGCUUGUCUUUCUCUCUCUGUGUCCCAGCUGUCCUGGCAUUGUGUAAAGGUUGUGCUGCUUGUCUUUCUCUCUCUGUGUCCCAGCUGUCCUGGCAUUGUGUAAAGGUUGUGCUGCUUGUCUUUCUCUCUCUGUGUCCCAGCUGUCCUGGCAUCGUGUAAAGGUUGUGCUGCUUGUCUUUCUCUCUCUGUGUCCUAGCUGUCCUGGCAUCGUGUACAGGUUGUGCUGCUUGUCUUUCUCUCUCUGUGUCCUAGCUGUCCUGGCAUCGUGUAAAGGUUGUGCUGCUUGUCUUUCUCUCUCUGUGUCCCAGCUGUCCUGGCAUCGUAUCAAGGUUGUGCUGCUUGUCUUUCUCUCUCUGUGUCCUAGCUGUCCUGGCAUCGUGUAAAGGUUGUGCUGCUUGUCUUUCUCUCUCUGUGUCCUAGCUGUCCUGGCAUCGUGUACAGGUUGUGCUGCUUGUCUUUCUCUCUCUGUGUCCCUGCUGUCCUGGCAUCGUGUAAAGGUUGUGCUGCUUGUCUUUCUCUCUCUGUGUCCUAGCUGUC